rnacentral:rRNA from 1 species
AAAUUGAAGAGUUUGAUCAUGGCUCAGAUUGAACGCUGGCGCAGGCCUAACACAUGCAAGUGAGCGGUAGCACAGAGAGCUUGCUCUCGGGUGACGAGCGGC